UACCUGCGCCCCAAGUGGUAUCCGGUUUUAGUUGGACUAAAGCGUCCGUAGCCGGUUUGAUAAGUUCUUGGUGAAAUUCACUGGAAAACUGGUGAGCUUGCCGAGAAUACUGUCAGACUUGGGACUGGGAGAAGGUGGAGGUACUACUGGGGAAGGGGUAAAAUCCUAUAAUCCCAGUGGGACCACCUGUGGCGAAGGCGUCUACCUAGAACAGGUCCGACGGUGAGGGACGAAACCUAGGGGAGCGAUCGGGGAUUAGAUACCCCGGUAGUCCUAGGCGUAAACGAUGCCCACUUGGUGUUACAAACCUUACGAGGGUUUGUAGUGCCGGAACGUAGGUGUUAAGUGGGCCACCUGGGGAGUACGACCGCAAGGUUGAAACUUAAGGGAAUUGGCGGGGGAGCACACAAGGAGUGGAGGCUGCGGUUC
rnacentral:rRNA from 1 species